rnacentral:tRNA from 1 species
GGCGGCGUAGCUCAGUUGGUUAGAGCACACGGCUCAUAAUCGUGGGGUCGUCGGUUCGAGUCCGACCGCCGCUACGA